AAUAAACGUAACAAUGAGUUUUCAUGCCCAACUUUGUUCAUCUUGUUUCGUCCAUCUUAUUUAAAAUUUUUUAUGAUUAGUAUUUUUACUGUUAUUAGAUUAUAAAAUAUGAAUAAUACUUUAUCCGUAACAAAAGAUUAAAGUUGGGCACAUGAAACAAAUGGUUGCGCUUAUU
rfam:Oryza sativa Japonica Group DNA, chromosome 12, cultivar: Nipponbare, complete sequence.